UUCCUUGUAACUCAAUCGGAAGAGUGUACGACUGUUAAUCGUAAAGUAGCGAGAUCGAAACUCGCCAAGGAAG
rnacentral:tRNA from 4 species